UGGAUUGAGAGCUUGCUCUCAAGAAGUUAGCGGCGGACGGGUGAGUAACACGUGGGUAACCUGCCCAUAAGACUGGGAUAACUCCGGGAAACCGGGGCUAAUACCGGAUAACAUUUUGAACCGCAUGGUUCGAAAUUGAAAGGCGGCUUCGGCUGUCACUUAUGGAUGGACCCGCGUCGCAUUAGCUAGUUGGUGAGGUAACGGCUCACCAAGGCAACGAUGCGUAGCCGACCUGAGAGGGUGAUCGGCCACACUGGGACUGAGACACGGCCCAGACUCCUACGGGAGGCAGCAGUAGGGAAUCUUCCGCAAUGGACGAAAGUCUGACGGAGCAACGCCGCGUGAGUGAUGAAGGCUUUCGGGUCGUAAAACUCUGUUGUUAGGGAAGAACAAGUGCUAGUUGAAUAAGCUGGCACCUUGACGGUACCUAACCAGAAAGCCACGGCUAACUACGUGCAGCAGCCGCGGUAAUACGUAGGUGGCAAGCGUUAUCCGGAAU
rnacentral:rRNA from 2 species